rnacentral:rRNA from 1 species
UGGGGGAUAUUGCACAAUGGGGGAAACCCUGAUGCAGCGACGCCGCGUGAGGGAAGACGGUCCUCUGGAUUGUAAACCUCUGUCGGUAGGGACGAUAAUGACGGUACCUACCGAGGAAGCUCCGGCUAACUACGUGCCAGCAGCCGCGGUAAUACGUAGGGAGCGAGCGUUGUCCGGAAUUAUUGGGUUUAAAGGGUGCGUAGGCUGUUAUGUAAGUCAGCGGUGAAAUACCUAAGCUCAACUUAGGGGCUGCCGUUGAUACUGCAUAGCUGGAAUAUGGUUGCUGUUGGCGGAAUGUGUAGUGUAGCGGUGAAAUGCAUUGAUAUUACACAGAACACCUAUUGCGAAGGCAGCUGACAAAACCAUUAUUGACGCUGAGGCACGAAAGUGUGGGGAUCAAACA